rnacentral:lncRNA from 1 species
CUGCAUUUAGAGAGGUUAAGCAAUGAGGUCCUACUGGAUAGCACAGGGAAGUAGAUCCAAUCUCUUGUGAUAGAUCAUGAUGGAAGGUAAUAUGAGAAAAAGAAUGUGUGUGUUGUGUGUGUGUGUGAGAGAGAGAGAGAGAGAGACUGGGUCACUUUGCUGUAUAGCAGAAAUUGACACAAUAUUGUAAAUAAACUUUAACAGUUUUUUUUUUUUUUUUUUUUUAAAUAACCAAAAAGCAUGCCCUAAACCAGUGCUGAGUCCAUAGGGACAGGACUGAAAACAUGAAAAAAAUGUGGUUCUUUCCCUCAAGGAACCUGAAGCUUAGAAAAGAAGUAGCAUGUAAACAAGUCUUCCAUUGUUUUUACAGCAUUGACCACAGUGAUGUAUGGUGUUUGGUAAUCACAAUAAAAAGAGCAAUCAUUUAGUAAGCACAUCCCCUGUGCCACACACUGAAUUAAAUAUUUACAAAUGCAGUCUCAUUGGAUGCUCACCCUAGCCUCAAGGUGUAGGCAUACUUUGAUCAUUCUCAUCUUCCUGGGGGGGUUACCUGGGAUUCGAAGAGUUUGACGUGCCCGCCUGAAAUUACUGUGGACGGGAGGUGGCUUCCUCAGGACUUGAGUCGUCUGACGGCAGCGCCAGGGUACCUCCUCACUGUGCUGUGUGGCUCAAAGAAGUGUAGGAGUAACUUAUCUCAGUGGGUGAUGGGGGCUCGUGGUGGCCGGCAGGGGAUGGCAUGCAAGGAUUCACCGGAGAGUAAGCUAUUAAACAAGGUGAUUUUAAAAUAAAACAUUACGUGUUUUCCAAGCAGAUGUGGACAUGGGGGAUUCCAGGACAAGGACAGAGCAUGUCGACAGAUGGAGUGGCAGGAGAAACCGUGCCUGGAAGAAGAGAGACAAUUCCGCGUGACUGAAAAUAAGCUGCAGAAGGACUCAUCAAUAUGUAAAGCCCUGGGGAGUUGGCUUUCUCAGUUUGUACACUGGGCCUCCACUCAUCUGAGGAUCACAGUUCGGUGAGUUAUGUAAAAGACCCUUGCCAUCACUCUCUACCCUAUUUGCCCUCAAAAGAGGAUAACCUGAAAAAUGCUUCGGAUAUAAAUAGGGGGGAGAAAUAGUAAGAGUAAGCAGUGCAGAAAGCUUCAGGUGUGGCAGCAUUUUAGAGAUAGAAGCAGGUGUAUCUAAUAUGUAUGUUAGAAUACAAUGCAUUAGGGUGUUUAGAAUGUUUUAUUUUGUUAAUGAAAUUCUAUAACUUGGAAAACAUAACAUCUUGAACUAAAAUUGACUUGGGGAGAGAGAACUUCAAGAAGAUUUUUAUGUAAAAUUCUAAAUUACCGUAACUUUCCAGUCAUUUCUCCUGAUUCAAGCCACCUCCCAAACAUUUAUUAAAUUGUUACUGAACCCAGCAUGGGUCUGCUCACCCAUGCGAAAUAAAGCCAGUCUACUGACAGUGGGUUGUGGUGAA